UGCAGCCAACCGCUCAGCCUUCUGGAGAGAUUUGCUCUGGUGUGUCAACUGCACCUACAAGUCCUUGUGGCUCUUCUCCAACAUUUGGCCAAACAUCUGUAAAUCCUCAUUCCAUCACAAGUACCAAUCCAUUUGGUGUAUCUAAUUCCCCAGUAUUUGGAACAGUAGGCACAUUUGAAGCAUCAAGCGCACCAGCUUUUGGCACUUCUCUCACUCAUGCUGUUGGAGCAUCAAAUUCUGCUUUUGGCACUUCCAAGACUCCUGUUUUUGGAGUGUCAAAUUCUGCUUUUGGCGUUUUCGACAGUCCUACUUUUGGAUCAUCUUCUACUCCUUCAUUCAGCUCUGGGUCUAGCCCUGCUUUUGGCCAAUCAACACCAGCAUUUGCCAGUAGUCCUUUUGGAACAACUACAAUUGGAGCACAGAGUUCUUUUGGUGAGUAACCAAGCCUACUUGAUCAUAGACUUCGAAACUACUUGUACGGUUAGGCAGAAAUAUAUAUUUUCAUGGGCCUUACAUGAUUUAAGGUCAAGGGAGUUCGUAUACGUAUACAUAUAUAUAUUAUUUAAAAUUCUUUGAGUUCUCAUGUAGGACCCCGAUCUUCUGCACCAGCAUUUGGACAGUCAACUUUUGGGGCUCAACGUGGGGGAAGAAGAGUUGCUUCUUACACGCCUACAAUUGACGCUGAUAGUAGCAUUGGUACACAGAUGUUCGAGUCAAUUUCAGCUAUGCCUGUUUACAAAGAUAAAAGUCAUGAGGAGCUGAGAUGGGAGGAUUAUCAAUUAGGAGAUAAAGGUACCUUUGUAAAAUAUUAAGAAAACCUGGAAGUUAUUCAUUAUUCUUUCCCAUGUUCAUUAUCGACUAACUUGCUGUAAUAAUUUGACUGUCAGUUGGAUUGCAGCCAACCGCUCAGCCUUCUGGAGAGAUUUGCUCUGGUGUGUCAACUGCACCUACAAGUCCUUGUGGUUCUUCUCCAACAUUUGGCCAAACAUCUGUAAAUCCUCAUUCCAUCACAAGUACCAAUCCAUUUGGUGUGUCUAAUUCCCCGGUAUUUGGAACAGUAGGCACAUUUGGAGCAUCAAGCGCACCAGCUUUUGGCACUUCUCUCACUCAUGCUUUUGGAGCAUCAAAUUCUGCUUUUGGCACUUCCAAGACUCCUGUUUUUGGAGUGUCAAAUUCUGCUUUUGGCUUUUCCGACACUCCUACUUUUGGAUCAUCUUCUACUCCUUCAUUCAGCUCUGGGUCUAGCCCUGCUUUUGGCCAAUCAACACCAGCAUUUGCCAGUAGUCCUUUUGGAACAACUACAAUUGGAGCACAGAGUUCUUUUGGUGAGUAACCAAGCCUACUUGAUCAUAGACUUCGAAACUACUUGUACAGUUAGGCAGAAAUAUAUAUUUUCAUGGGCCUUACAUGAUUUAAGGUCAAGGGAAUUCGUAUACGUAUACAUAUAUAUAUUAUUUAAAAUUCUUUGAGUUCUCAUGUAGGACCCUGAUCUUCUGCACCAGCAUUUGGACAGUCAACUUUUGGGGCUCAACGUGGGGGAAGAAGAGUUGCUUCUUACACGCCUACAAUUGACGCUGAUAGUAGCAUUGGUACACAGAUGUUCGAGUCAAUUUCAGCUAUGCCUGUUUACAAAGAUAAAAGUCAUGAGGAGCUGAGAUGGGAGGAUUAUCAAUUAGGAGAUAAAGGUACCUUUGUAAAAUAUUAAGAAAACCUGGAAGUUAUUCAUUAUUCUUUCCCAUGUUCAUUAUCGACUAACUUGCUGUAAUAAUUUGACUGUCAGUUGGACUGCAGCCAACCGCUCAGCCUUCUGGAGAGAUUUGCUCUGGUGUGUCAACUGCACCUACAAGUCCUUGUGGUUCUUCUCCAACAUUUGGCCAAACAUCUGUAAAUCCUCAUUCCAUCACAAGUACCAAUCCAUUUAGUCUAAAAUCUCCAUCCUUCAGCAGUGUAGGCUUUGCAACCUCGACUACUACCUCAAACCCUUCCCAA
rnacentral:lncRNA from 1 species